UAGGGAAUAUUGCUUAAUGGGCGAAAGCCUGACCCAGCAACGCCGCGUGAAGGAAGAAGGUUUUCGGAUCGUAAACUUCUAUCCUUGGUGAAGAUAAUGACGGUAGCCAAGAAGGAAGCCCCGGCUAACUACGUGCCAGCAGCCGCGGUAAUACGUAGGGGGCAAGCGUUGUCCGGAAUGAUUGGGCGUAAAGGGCGCGUAGGCGGCCUGGUAAGUCUGGAGUGAAAGUCCUGCUUUUAAGGUGGGAAUUGCUUUGGAUACUGUCGGGCUUGAGUACAGGAGAGGUAAGUGGAAUUCCCGGUGUAGCGGUGAAAUGCGUAGAGAUCGGGAGGAACACCAGUGGCGAAGGCGACUUACUGGACUGUAACUGACGCUGAGGCGCGAAAGUGUGGGGAGCAAACA
rnacentral:rRNA from 1 species